GUUUUAUAGUCGUCUAACAAACUGCCUGACGGUUUAAUAUUAUAGCCUUCGCGGCCUUUUCUCCUCUCAUUUUUCACCAACGGUUUGGCCGCCGCAGGAAAGGAAAAGAGGUGGGGAAGCGCGUCCAAAAAAACAGGCGGUGGAAAGGACAGACCUUUAAACACGAAGGACCCCUCCUGGGGUCCUUGUUCGCCGCCGCUGUUUGGAGAGCGAGGCGAGGAGGAAAGAGAGGCGCGCGUCGGGGCCGUUUUUUCCCCUGCUUUCAAAAUGGCGACCAAGAAUUUCCGCGUCAGCGACGGAGACUGGAUCUGUCCGGACAAGAAGUGUGGAAAUGGGUAACUUUGCUAGAAGACCAGCUGCAACAGGUGUGGGCCGAG